rnacentral:SRP_RNA from 1 species
GCUGGGUGUGGUGGCGGGCGCCUGUAGUCCCAGCUACUCGGGAGGCUGAGGCAGGAGAAUGGCGUGAACCCGGGAGGCGGAGCUUGCAGUAAGCUGAGAUGGUGCCACUGCACUCUAGCCAGGGCUGCAGAGUGAGACUCCGUCUUAAAAAAAAAAAAAAAAAUCAUUUUCCACUCUAUGACUUGUAUCUUCAAAGACUUGAGGAAUGAAGCUUUUUUGUUUUUUUUGUUGUUGUUGUUGUUGUUUUUCUUCGCUCGAUCGCCCAGGCUGGAGUGCAGUGGCCGGAUCUCAGCUCACUGCAAGCUCCGCCUCCUGGGUUUACACCAUUCUCCUGCCUCAG